UGUACUGGUAAUCAAGCUACUCUCCUUCCCUGCUUUGCUCUCGCGUUCCCCGAACAAGCAGGUCUCCUUGCCUGCGGUUUGCUGGGUGGUUCGGGGAACGGGAGAGCAAACCGCGGCGAAGCUACUCUCCUUCCCCGGUUUGCUCUCGCGUUCCCCCAACAAGCAGGAUGAAUCCGCCCUGUUACAAUGGAGACUUUUCUAAAAACCACCUCAUGGGUCACUGUUUUAGGAAAGGU